GCAUUUAUAGUCCAACGGUUAGGAAAAUUGCCUUUCAGGCAAUAGGCUUGGGAUCAACUCCCGACAAACGCA
rfam:Vitis vinifera, whole genome shotgun sequence of line PN40024, unoriented chromosome 11, chr11